GCGGACGUAGCUCAGUUGGUAGAGCACAACCUUGCCAAGGUUGGGGUCGCGAGUUCGAGUCUCGUCGUCCGCUC
rnacentral:tRNA from 1 species